AUACUUUGUUUGUCUUACUUUUUCCUUAAUAGUUUCUAAAACUUAACUAUUUCCAAAAAUCAAUAUUAAUAAAUUUUGUCCUGGGUUUCUUGCCUUAAUUUUUGCCUCCUAGACCUCCUACAGAACAAGUAGAGUCAAUUUAUUUGGGGAAAACAUUAUUUCCCAUCUAACUAACAAAAGGGCGACCGAAGCUUGUGUCGAUUGUAAAAGAGAGUGCGAGACAAAAUUCAAAAGGAAAGCACUUAGACAAGUAUUUUAAAUUGAAUACAAGUCGACAAGAAGAUGGAAGCUUCUGGCCUGCCCGCACGUUUAACUUUUUUUUUUUCUUAUUCCAUUAAAAAAGUUCUUCAAUUUCCGAAUGAAGACUUACCAUUUGGAUGGAUAAUAAGAUUUUCAUGUUAAGAUUCAAAAACAGACAAGGCAACCGAAAAACGAAUGAGCGAGCUUCAAGUCCUCGAGGCCGCUACCGCGCCGCCUUCUGCCACUGCUCCCAACGACGACGACGAGAUAAACUUCACAAAGAAAAUUGAAAACAAAUUUUGUAAAUAAAAGAUAAUUCGUUAAGUUUUUUUUUAUAUAUAUUAUUUUGUUCUUGAUGUUGUUGUUGUUUUUGCCUAUCUGCUUUCUCUAUCUAUUGUUGAAAGGAGCAAGGACAAUAAAAUGGACAUCUGACGGAAAACGACAUAAACAAAAAGACAAGCAACAAAAAAAAAGGUAUAAUUUGCUUGAACACAAAAAGGUUCAAAAUCAACAAGAUUUUUUCUGGGAAGAGUAGAAGACCAUUUUAAGGAGAAAAUAUGUUUCAAUAAAAAAGUGUGGUUUAUAGAACUUUAAACGGUUUGUGCAAUAAAAAGAAUCACUGAACACAAAAUUUGUAGUAGAACUUUUUUUAAGGAGGGUCUUCUUAGAAACAUCAAGUUCAUUAAAAAGCAAUAAUAUUGUUACAAAAGAAUGUUUGACCUUUGAUAAAAAGACAAAAAUGUUUUUCUAAAGAUUAAAUAGAAAGAGGUAUUUAUAUCAAGUGUUUAGUAAGAUCAUAAAACCUUGGGACAUCUGUUGGAUAACUUUUAAAUUAAAUGUUGGUUUCACAUCGUUUUAUUGAUGUACUUAUAAUAAUCUACCCACAUUUGGCAUAUUUUUAGAUAAUCCAAGGUAUUUUUUAGUGAUUUAAAAUAGGACCACAUAGCUUUGGAGAAAUAAGAUAGUUUUUUUUUUGUAAAGAUCAUCCAUCAUUCAUCUGUUAUGGUUUCACAUAUUAAUACAGCUAAAACACAUAAUAUAGAGAGCAAGAAUAAAGAGUUUUCAAAAAAAAAUGAAGAGAAAAGGGUGUCUUUUUCGAAGAGGCAGUAAAAUCUAAAAUUGGUCCCAAGAAGC